UACGUAGGUCCCGAGCGUAGUCCGGAUUUAUUGGGCGUAAAGCGAGCGCAGGUGGUUUAUUAAGUCUGGUGUAAAAGGCGGUGGCUCAACCAUUGUAUGCAUUGGAAACUGGUAGACUUGAGUGCAGGAGAGGAGAGUGGAAUUCCAUGUGUAGCGGUGAAAUGCGUAGAUAUAUGGAGGAACACCGGUGGCGAAAGCGGCUCUCUGGCCUGUAACUGACACUGAGGCUCGAAAGCGUGGGGAGCAAACAGG
rnacentral:rRNA from 1 species